rnacentral:rRNA from 1 species
UACGUAGGGUGCAAGCGUUGUCCGGAAUUAUUGGGCGUAAAGAGCGCGUAGGCGGCCCAGUAAGUCCGCUCUGAAAGUCAGGGGCUCAACCCCUGGAUGCGGGUGGAUACUGCUGGGCUAGAGUCCGGAAGAGGCGAGUGGAAUUCCUGGUGUAGCGGUGAAAUGCGCAGAUAUCAGGAGGAACACCGAUGGCGAAGGCAGCUCGCUGGGCCGGUACUGACGCUGAGGAGCGAAAGCGUGGGGAGCGAACAGGG